rnacentral:rRNA from 1 species
GACGAACCGUGCGAACGUUAUUCGGAAUCACUGGGCUUAAAGCGCGUGUAGGCGGGAGGGCACGUCCGUCGCUGAAAUCCCCCGGCUCAACCGGGGAACGGGCGCGGAUACGACCUUCCUGGAGGGGCGUAGGGGGACCUGGAACUUCCGGUGGAGCGGUGAAAUGCGUUGAGAUCGGAAGGAACGCCCGUGGCGAAAGCGAGGUCCUGGACGCCUACUGACGCUGAGACGCGAAAAGCCAGGGGAA